GCGGGCGUGGCGGAAUGGCAGACGCGCUGGAUUUAGGUUCCAGUGUCCAAGUGACGUAAGAGUUCAAGUCUCUUCGUCCGCACCA
rnacentral:tRNA from 1 species